UAUCAUGAUAUAUUUAUAUCGUGACGACGAGUUUAAUUUGUUUUUAUUUUAAAUUUUUUUAUAUAUUACUUUUUCCCCAUAUAUUAUACUAUUGAAAUUGAGUAUUGACAGAUCGUCUAGUGCCUAUGGGUAAGCCUAACAAAUUGUAUUUGCGCUGUAACAGAUCAUGCAGGUUAGUAACGUGUCUUUCAUGAUUAUGAGUUGUGGGGCAGGUGUUAUUUAAUGAACUCCCGAAAACUUCCGAAUUAAAAGUAAAUUUUCCUUAAGGGGGUAUACAUCGGUAAUUGUGUAUCUAGAUCUUUCAUAGCCAUAUACAGCAAAUAUUUCAUGAAAGGAUAUGAACGUAAAAGGGACGUACUCUUUGGGGCGAAUGACCCAGGUUCGUAACCGGAAGUUCAACUUUCGAUACAAAUAAACAAAAAUCUUGGAAAUCUUGAACAGAGACCAUACCCGGAGUUAAGAAGCAGUAGCCAAAAGAAAUCAUUGCUAAAUGUUAGCUUGCUGGUGGAUUUAAGCAAACAUUAUCAUUAUCUGUGUAUAUCCGGCUAUAAAUUUUGCGUGUACCUACACAUUUGUGUACUAAAAACUGUCAAGAGUCGUUCAUCACAGUGACAUGUAUACAUUUUUUAGUUGCUACUACUCUCUAGCCUAGACUAGGUCGAUAUGGUAUGAAUAGUUCCGUUAAAUCAAGAAUUUAGCCAUAUGUCAACAGGCCACAGCUUGAAUUAUUGUUGUAAUAACUCAAUUAUAUACAAAUAUUACACGAUGUUACUAUCAACUGACUAUGGAUUUAAGUUUAAUAAAUAUAUAAAUCUGUAAAUAUACUAAUUUUGAAUUAUUAUUUUUUUAAAUUAUUUGUAACUAUUAUCGACACAACUACAUGUAUGAGUAUACAUAAUUUUUUAUUGUUAUUGUUUCUUUGUACAGUCAUUUGGUUUUGUUAUGUCAAUGCUAUGUAGCAUGGUGGAACUAAUAUUUACUUUUUGUUGAGUUGUAGCACAAUGUUGGGAAGAUCAGUUAGAGUCCUUGCUCGGCCACAGAACACGGCCAAGGGUUGUAACAGUUGGACAAGAGACUUAGACAACAAGGACACACCAGUUUUUACAGAUGGGUCACCAGACUGGACUGGAUUCACGACUCAUCACGCCACUAACUCAACUCCUUUGGUCACAUACAUUUGUACAUUGGAUCAUCAUCAGACGUUAUUUAUGCAAACCCCUAGAGCUCUGCAUUAGUAUGAUCCAGUUGAGAAUUUAUCAGGUAAUCGUCAGAUUUACUAGUUAAAAGCAGUAUUUACUUUUAAGUUAAACCCCCUCAUGUACAAAAUGUACAUGUGAUUCCAACAUAUAACAAACAUAUUUAUAAAGAUUAAGACAACUUUUUCUAAUCUUAUGUGUUAGAUUGAAAAGAUUUGUGCAACGUUUAUAUCUCAGUUUCUAAACUUAAAAUCCAUAAAAAAUUGCUGAAUGUGUUACUUUUACAAAUUUAUAUGGCCAUAACAUGAUGGGAUGCCGCAUCAUGCGUUUGAAAUAAAAAAAAAAACAUUCGUAAAUAUGAAGUUACAAUUAUAUAUAAUUGUUAUAUAAAUAUAUUACAUGUGAAACUUUUAAAUGUUGUUUGGUAUAUUAUCACAUUUUGAAUGGAGGACGCUACCGAUUUAUAUAAACUAUAAUUAUAAUAUUUAUCUUGUUUAAUAAUCUGAAUAUUAAAAAUCAGAUAUGCAUGUACGGCAUGAAUACAGAUUUUGCAAUAAAGUACCACAAUUUAAAGGACAAAAUUUAUAGAAGUCUAUAUUUAUUGAACUUUUCAUUAUUAUUGAUUUUUUAUAUAUAUAUCUUAAGGGAAAAAAGGGGCCAAAUGGUUUUAUCUUGUAACCAACUUUUAAAAUGAGACUAUUACAAGUUUUGUGUAAUUUUAAAUU
rnacentral:lncRNA from 1 species